GAUGAACGCUGGCGGCGUGCCUAAUACAUGCAAGUCGAGCGCACAGACGUGGUGCUUGUUCCUCUGACAUUAGCGGCGGACGGGUGAGUAACACGUGGAUAACCUACCUAUAAGCCUGGGAUAACUUCGGGAAACCGGUGCUAAUACCGCAUAAUAUCUUUAAACACAUGGUUCAAUAGUGAAAGACGCAUUUGCUUCACCCUAUAGAUAUAUCCCCGUGGCAUUGGCUGGUUGGGAAGGAAACGGCUUCCAAAGGCAAGGAAGAUAAGCGACCCGGGAAGGGGGAUCGGCCAAAUGGGAACGGGAAAAGGGCCAAGACCCCCAGGGGAGGAACAGUAGGGGAAUCUUGCGAAAUGGGGGAAAGCUUGACGGGGAAACGCCGCGGGGGGGAGGAAGGUCUUCGGAUGGUAAAACUCUGUGAUUAGGGAAGAAGAAAGGGGGAAUUAACUAUUCACGACUUGACGGUACCUAAUCAGAAAGCCACGGCUAACUACGUG
rnacentral:rRNA from 1 species